UGUAACGAAUAUACACAUGCUCCGAA
rnacentral:sRNA from 1 species